GUGACACGAAAGAGCAGAUGUAUGUCUUCAGUGGACUAUAGGCAUUUUCAAGAAUAGAGCUUUUUUUAGUGUGUGUGUGUGUGUGUGUGUGCUCACGUGUCUGUCAUUGAGCACAUUAGUCAGUUUCUCUUUCCUCGUGUCUAUGUCAUGACAUGUGCCGCAGUCACCAAACUCCUUGUUGUCUUUCUUGUGGCAUUCAUCCUGUGCCUGCCGGAGUUCUUCUCCUCACACAGAGGAUUAAAGGUGUCCUUCUGCUGUGAGAGCUUCAAGCCUUGUGCAGAUGGCUCUGAUGGCGGGUGUGGGGGGUCUGAGGGCAUGUGGGUGAAGGGCCAACCCAUCUGCAAUGGAGAGAUCAAUAGCACAGAGCAGAACAUUUCAUCUUACUGGCUGCUGUGUGAAACACAGACCAACCUGACGAAUCUUUUUGUCAAUACCUCCCUCAUAGAGACACACCUGGAAGUGUCUCUGUCUGUCCGGGUUGACAGUCCCUCAGCACAUAAUGUGACCGUGCACCAUCAAUUGGAAAACGCCAGCUCUUUUAUAAGAAGCUCAGAACAUCUUCAGGGGCUCUUUCACUGCUGUGUGACCCCCAACAACAACACCCAGAACCUCUUACAGAACACCACUCCUCCACAUCCAUUCUCCGGUGUCAGUCACUGUUUCCUGCAUGCUCAGCGAAACAAUCAGACCGCAUCCUUUUAUUGCCCUCAUCAGAUGGAAGGAAAUGAAAGUAAACGUGUGUGGUUUGGUCUCAUCCUUAUUGUGAUAUCCAUAACUGUGGUGACUGUUGUUUAUCAGGUUCUCUGCAAACCAAAGCAUCUGAAGAGGAAAGUUGAGCGUCUUCCUGACAGUGCAUACCAACCUCGUCGACUCACCAUCAGAAGAACUACUUCAUUUGAUGGCAUACCUGAACAGUCAUUACUACCCAGAUACUCCACAGGUGACGUGUUCUUUGAGGCCACAUCUCAGAAGGACGAGGAGACACUUCUACAAGUCUACAAGAAUAGGAUAGAACUCUCACCUAUUCGUGAAGUUGAAAAGAAUGAAGUCACUGGUGAGAAACAAGAAUCUGGCGGCUCACUGCUGCCGACCCAAGACUUCACACAUUGCCAGUGGGGACCAAUGUCCCAGCUGCAUCACCGUGGACACCCACCAACCGUCAGUUUGAUGUCUGUCACCACGGAGGAUCAGAACUAA
rnacentral:lncRNA from 1 species